UUGAAGGUCGAUCGAAAAGUUUGUGUAAGCCCAGAUUGUGACUAUUAAGAGAAAAUUCUUUAAAUCUAAAUUGUAAUUUCAGUUUGAGAAACGUAAGGUGGAAUUUAAGAAAGCAAAAGUUGGCCCGGUAGCAAAAAGUUUUAAUCAGACAUUAAGAAACCUGGAAUUAAAUGGUCUGAAAGAAAAAAAAAACUAAGAAAAGUGUAGUGCGGAAUACUGCACGUGUAAUACCUCCCUCGAGGCUCAGGUAAUGAACCGUUAUAAUGUAACUGUGACCACAUGUGAAUCCUAGUAAGACAACCGUUGUUAAUGCGAACGUUUAUUAUAUCUUUUUCCUUGAAGGACACUACUAUCCUUCAAGCGAAGGUGCUAGUGUAGGGUGUAGGGGAUAGCGACCAGCCACGCUGUCUCUAGGGACGAGUCAGAAGCUCGGCGACUUGUAGGCUCGCCUCGUCGUCCGCGCCAGUAUUCGACCCUCGCGCACCCUGGGCCGAAGGAAUCCACGCCUUCCGGAGGAAUUCGGACGCUACUAACCGAAUAUCGCUCCAUCGGUCUCGAAGGGAGAUUCACACCACGUGAGCGCAUUGGCACCGCCCAUCACCACCCC